rnacentral:lncRNA from 1 species
CAAUAACGGAUGGCACCCUUCCCCUCAUUGCCAGGUGAGCGGCAGCCAUUUUGAAAAUUCCAAAGUCGAAGAAUGCAUUUACAGAUGUCUAGUAACAUUUUUGCAAAGUUUCAUUAAGUUUGAAGCAUUUUGAAAAUUUUUGAAAUUUUUGAAAUUUUUGCUGUUUCCAUGGUUACGGCGGCCAUUUUGAAAAUUCCAACUUCAAAAUGCAACUCCGCACAUGUCAGUCACUAUUCCUGUAAAGUUUCAUCCAGUUUGCAGCACUUAAUUUUUUUUGGAAAUUUUGAACAUUUGUGCUGCAACCAUGGUUACAGUAGAUAAUUCCAAAAUUCUAAAAGCGUACAUCUCAUUGCCACAUGUCAUGUUAUAUAUCAAUACAGUUUCAUUUACUUUGGUGCAAUACUCUCUGAGAAAAUGCUGAUUUUAUGCAUUUUUCCAUAGGGUCAAUGCAAAACUUGGCCCCAGUUUCCAUGACAACGGCGGCCAUUUUGAACUAUCCAAAUAUUGUCUUGACAUCUUGGCAUACUGGAGAACAUUUUCAUAAAGUUUCAUCCAGUUGGAUCUUAUAACGAAAGAGUUAGAAUUUUUGAUAUUUUAGCUGUUUCCAUGGUAACGGCAGCCAUUUUGAAAAUUCCAAAGUCAAACUGGAAAUCAGCACAUGCCAGUCAACAUUCCUGUGGAGUUUCUUCCAGUUUGGAACACUUUGAUUUUUUUCGCAUUUGUGCUGUUUCCAUGGAAACGGCGGCCAUUUUUUACCAUUCCAUAGCAAGGUGCACAACUUCACAUGGGGGUCCUCAUUAUAGAAGAGUUCCAUCAACAUUGGUCCAUUGGAUUCCAAGAACUCGCGCGGACAAAAUUUGUGCAAGAAAAAUAACUAGAUUUGUAAUUGCUAGCAAUAACGGAUGGCACCCUUCCCCUAUUGCCAGGUGAGCGGCAGCCAGUUUGAAAAUUCCAAAGUCAAAUAGUGCAUCUACAGAUGUCCAGUAACAUUUUUGCAAAGUUUCAUUAAGUUUGAAGCAUUUUGAAAUUUUGGAUAUUUUUGCUGUUUCCAUGGUAACGGCGGCCAUUUUGAAAAUUCCAAACUCAAAAUUCAAGUCUUCAUAAGCUAGGCAACAUUUGUUAUAAGUUUCAUUAAAUUUAAAGCAUUUUGAAGUUUUUCAUAUUUUUGCUGUUCCCAUGGUAACGGCGGCCAUUUUUAAUAUUCCAAAGUCAAACCCCCGCUGCAAUUUUUUCCCUCCAUAAUCAUAUACCAUUUAAUGUCUCUAGAAUAAAUUUAACAUUGAUGUUCUGGAAUGUUCUGUGAAAAUUCAAAGUUUUGACCUGUUUGCAUUGUUUCCAAGGUAACACCAGAUAUUUUGAAAAUUCCAACGCCAAAUUCCACAUCUUCCAAUGUUGCUCAUCGUUACUGUGAAGUUUCAUUAAGUUUUGAGCAUUUUGAUAUUUUUGAAAUUUUUGGUGUAGUUUCCAUGGCAACAUAGUAGUUCCAAUGAGUGUCAAAAUCAUCCAACACCUGUAUAUAGUGGGCACCUACAUUGUAUUAAAAUAUAAUGUUUCUGAGUUAAAGUAUAUCCAAACAGUUCACCAAAAAAAAACAGGAUUUUUUCACAUUUGUUCUGUUUCCAUGGAAACGGUAGCCAUCUUGAACCAUUCCAUGCUUACUGCAACUCUGCACAUGGGGGUCCUUACUAUAGAAGAGUUCCAUCAACAUUGGUCCAUUGGAUUUCGAGAAAUCACCUGGACAAAAUUUGUUGCAAGAAGAAAAUAAAUAAUAAGAAAAAAAAGAAACGUAGAAUAACAAUACGUCACCCCAACUCCGUUGAGGGUGCCAUAAUAAGAAAAAAAAGAAACGUAGAAUAACAGCAUGUCACCCAAACUCCGUUGAGGGUGCCAUAAUAAGAAAAAAAAGAAACGUAGAAUAACAAUACGUCACCCCAACUCCGUUGAGGGUGCCAUAAUUACAAA